UGGGGAAUUUUGGACAAUGGGCGCAACCCUGAUCCAGCCAUGCCGCGUGAGUGAAGAAGGCCUUCGGGUUGUAAAGCUCUUUCGGCCGGGAAGAAAUCGCAUAGGUUAAUACCCUGUGUGGAUGACGGUACCGGAAUAAGAAGCACCGGCUAACUACGUGCCAGCAGCCGCGGUAAUACAGAGGGUGCAAGCGUUAAUCGGAAUUACUGGGCGUAAAGCGCGCGUAGGUGGUUAGUUAAGUUGGAUGUGAAAUCCCCGGGCUCAACCUGGGAACUGCAUUCAAAACUGACUGACUAGAGUAUGGUAGAGGGUGGUGGAAUUUCCUGUGUAGCGGUGAAGUGCGUAGAUAUGCGGAGGAACACCGAUGGCGAAGGCAAUCCCCUGGACCUGUACUGACGCUCAUGCACGAAAGCGUGGGGAGCAAACA
rnacentral:rRNA from 1 species